UACGUAGGCACCAAGCGUUGUCCGGAUUUAUUGGGCGUAAAGAGCUCGUAGGCGGUUCGGUUAGUCGGGUGUGAAAACUUUGGGCUCAACUCAAAGACUGCACCCGAUACUGCUGUGACUUGAGUCCGGUAGGGGGAGUGGGGAAUUCCUGGUGUAGCGGUGGAAUGCGCAGAUAUCAGGAGGAACACCGGUGGCGAAGGCGCCACUCUGGGCCGGUACUGACGCUGAGGAGCGAAAGCGUGGGGAGCGAACAGG
rnacentral:rRNA from 1 species